CCUACGGGAGGCAGCAGUGGGGAAUAUUGCACAAUGGGGGAAACCCUGAUGCAGCGACGCCGCGUGAGUGAAGAAGUAAUUCGUUACGUAAAGCUCUAUCAGCAGGGAAGAAAAUGACGGUACCUGAGUAAGAAGCACCGGCUAACUACGUGCCAGCAGCCGCGGUAAUACGGAGGGGGCAAGCGUUAUCCGGAUUUACUGGGUGUAAAGGGAGCGUAGACGGUGCGCCAAGCCUGGCGUGAAAUUCCGCGGCUUAACUGCGGAACUGCUUUGGAAACUGGCGAACUAGAGUGCGGGAGGGGUAAGCGGAAUUCGUGGUGUAGCGGUGAAAUGCGUAGAUAUCAGGAGGAACACCGGUGGCGAAGGCGGCUUACUGGAGCGUAACUGACGUUGAGGCUCGAAAGCGUGGGGAGCGAACAGGAUUAGAUACCCCAGUAGUC
rnacentral:rRNA from 1 species